CGAACGCUGGCGGCAGGCUUAACACAUGCAAGUCGAGCGAGGUUUUCGGACCUAGCGGCGGACGGGUGAGUAACGCGUGGGAACGUACCCUUUGCUACGGAAUAGUCCCGGGAAACUGGGUUUAAUACCGUAUGUGCCCUACGGGGGAAAGAUUUAUCGGCAAAGGAUCGGCCCGCGUUGGAUUAGGUAGUUGGUGGGGUAAUGGCCUACCAAGCCGACGAUCCAUAGCUGGUUUGAGAGGAUGACAGCCACACUGGGACUGAGACACGGCCCAGACUCCUACGGGAGGCAGCAGUGGGGAAUCUUAGACAAUGGGGGCAACCCUGAUCUAGCCAUGCCGCGUGAUCGAUGAAGGCCUUAGGGUUGUAAAGAUCUUUCAGCGGGGAAGA
rnacentral:rRNA from 1 species